rnacentral:rRNA from 1 species
AGGCCAACGGGAGAAGGGUUGUUAAGGAACUCGGCAAAAUGACCCCGUAACUUCGGGAGAAGGGGUGCUCCAGAGAUGGAGCCGCAGAGAAUCGGCCCAAGCAACUGUUUACCAAAAACACAGGUUUGUGCUAAAUCGAAAGAUGACGUAUACGAGCUGACGCCUGCCCGGUGCUGGAAGGUUAAGAGGAGAUGUGCAAGCAUUGAAUCGAAGCCCCAGUGAACGGCGGCCGUAACUAUAACGGUCCUAAGGUAGCGAAAUUCCUUGUCA